rnacentral:lncRNA from 10 species
GGAAGCUUACACCCAAAUAUUUUGCCUGAACAAUGGCUCCUUGUUUUAUUUCUCAGUUAAGAAAAAUGCCCAGGGACUGGCCAGGAUAAGCAGUUCUUCCCUCAUACUCAUCCACCUGGCCAAGCAGCAAUGUUCAGCUCUGUGGACACUGACAGCAAGAGGAGGUGGAACAUUAAGAAAACCUUGCCAGGCUAAGCAAUUCCAGGCAGCCUUCAGCCGCCACCACCGGUGAUGAAUCACAGAGGCUGCUGCCAGAGAUGGGACAUUUUGGGACUCUGCACAUACAACUUAAGACACAGGAUGGGAGUGGAGGUGAGAAAGAGAAGACAUAAGAUCCGUCCAGGGCAAAGGAUUCAAAGGUCACCAGGACUACACUCACCUCCUGAGACCUGGUGACAGCAAAAACAUUUCCUCGACGUGACUUCUAUUUGGAAGUUGAGGAGACAGUUCAGCCACCUUGUAGAGUAUUUUGCAUCAGCUAAUGCUCCCUGGCCUGACACACUCACAAACUCUGACCCAUUUAGAUAACCUCCCCUCAACCAAAAAAGAACGCACUUUCACCAGCCCCUGAAAAUCUCCCAAUGAAUUUAUCUUUUUAAGUUGUUAUUUUUGUCUGUGGUCUGAAGACAGAUGCAGUGCCACUUGUCUCUUCAGACGCCAGUAUCUCAAUGCCCCUCUUCACCCGUGCCACACCCAGCCUACCAGGUCUCAUUUCAUCGAAAAACAAACAACAAUAACAGCAACCCUCCCGCCCCCAAGCAUUCUAAUCAAAUACUGCCUCUAUAUGCUAUUCAGAUUGCUU